rnacentral:rRNA from 1 species
GACGAACGCUGGCGGCGUGCUUAACACAUGCAAGUCGAACGGAAAGGCCUUUUCGGAGGUACUCGAGUGGCGAACGGGUGAGUAACACGUGGGUGAUCUGCCCUGCACUCUGGGAUAAGCCUGGGAAACUGGGUCUAAUACCGGAUAGGACCGCACUUUAGUGUGUGUGGUGGAAAGUUUUUUCGGUGUAGGAUGAGCCCGCGGCCUAUCAGCUUGUUGGUGGGGUAAUGGCCUACCAAGGCGGCGACGGGUAGCCGGACUGAGAGGUUGGUCGGCCACAUUGGGACUGAGAUACGGCCCAGACUCCUACGGGAGGAAGCAGUGGGGAAUAUUGAACAAUGGGCGCAAGCCUGAUGCAGCGACGCCGCGUGGGGGAUGACGGCCUUCGGGUUGUAAACUCCUUUCGCCAGGGACGAAGCGUUUUGUGACGGUACCUGGAGAAGAAGCACCGGCUAACUACGUG